UACGACUACAUAUCAGGCAUAUCAAUAAGCGGAGGAAAAGAAACUAACAAGGAUUCCCCUAGUAACGGCGAGUGAAGCGGGAAGAGCUCAAAUUUGAAAUCUUCAAGGUUCUACCUUGACGAAUUGUAGUUUAAAGAAGUGUUUUCGGUUGGAGGAGUAGUAAAAGUUCUUUGGAAUAGGACAUCAUAGAGGGUGAGAAUCCCGUAUUUGACCAUUAUUUCCAGCUUUGUGAUACACUUUCAAAGAGUCGGAUUGUUUGGGAAUGCAGUCCAAAAUGGGUGGUAAAUUUCAUCUAAAGCUAAAUAUUGGCGAGAGACCGAUAGCGAACAAGUACCGUGAGGGAAAGAUGAAAAGAACUUUGAAAAGAGAGUUAAACAGUACGUGAAAUUGUCAAAAGGGAAGCGUUUGACACCAGUGUUGUUUCUACGAAAAUCAAUUUAUGAUGGCUUGAUGCUAAGCUUUAAGACUUUAUCCGCUUGUUGUUUAGUUUUCUUGUCUUUGUGAAUGCACUUUUCGUGGAACAAGUCAACAUCAAUUUCUUUUGCUGUAAAAGGGUAAGAGGAAGGUGGCUUCGGCUUCGGUUGAAGUGUUUAUAGCCUUUUAUCUCUGCAGUCGGAGAGAUUGAGGUCUGCAGCGUAGACUCUUCGGGGUUAGAUACGUCGGUGCUAAGCUAUAGCUUUUCAUAGACAACUUGUUGACUAUGUUUAGUCAUGUGGCUUACCCGCUGGCGCUAUUUUACCUACGCUUAGGAUGUUGACACACGCGCGUGCUCG
rnacentral:rRNA from 1 species